GGUUGAUCCUGCCGGACCCCACUGCUAUCGAGAUGGGACUAAGGUAUGCUAGUCGAACAACCAGAACUAUGUCUGGAAGUGGCACACUGCUCAGUAACACGUAGCUAACCUACCCUUAGGACGUGGAUACCCCCGAGAAAUUGGGGUUAAUCCGCGAUAGAUGUAAUGUCCUGGAAUGGUAUUACGUCUAAAGGUAUUUCAUACAUGUUUGAAAUAUGCCUAAGGACGGGGCUGCGGCCGAUCAGGCUGUUGGUGAGGUAAUGGCUCACCAAACCUUUGACCGGUACGGGCCAUGAGAGUGGUAGCCCGGAGAUGGACACUGAGACAAGGGUCCAGGCCCUAAGGGGCGCAGCAACCGCGAAACCUCCACAAUGCACUCACGUGCGAUGGGGCUAUCUCGAGUGCCACCUGAUGAAGGUGGCUUUUCCUAGGUCUUCAAAGCCUUGGGAAUAAGAGGGGGGCAAGACUGGUGUCAGCCGCCGCGGUAACACCAGCCCCUCGAGUGGUGGGGAUGAUUAUUUGGCCUAAAGCGUCCGUAGCCGGCCGAGCAAGUCUUCCGUUAAAUCCAGCGUCUCAAGCGUUGGACCGCGGGAGAUACUACACGGCUAGAGAGUGGGAGAGGUCAGCGGUAUUCUGGGGGUAAGGGCGAAAUCUUUUGAUCCCCGGAGGACCACCAGUGGCGAAGGCUGCUGACUAGAACACGUCUGACGGUCAGGGA
rnacentral:rRNA from 1 species